UGGGGAAUUUUGGACAAUGGGCGCAAGCCUGAUCCAGCCAUGCCGCGUGAGUGAAGAAGGCCUUCGGGUUGUAAAGCUCUUUCGGACGGGAAGAAAUGGCGGGCUCUAACAUAGCCUGUCGAUGACGGUACCGUAAGAAGAAGCACCGGCUAACUACGUGCCAGCAGCCGCGGUAAUACGAAGGGUGCAAGCGUUACUCGGAAUUACUGGGCGUAAAGCGUGCGUAGGUGGUUGUUUAAGUCUGAUGUGAAAGCCCUGGGCUCAACCUGGGAAUGGCAUUGGAAACUGGGCAGCUAGAGUGCGGUAGAGNGUAGUGGAAUUCCCGGUGUAGCAGUGAAAUGCGUAGAGAUCGGGAGGAACAUCUGUGGCGAAGGCGACUGCCUGGACCAGCACUGACACUGAGGCACGAAAGCGUGGGGAGCAAACA
rnacentral:rRNA from 1 species